GGACCCGCACAAGUAGUGGAGCAUGUGGUUUAAUUCGAAGAUACGCGCAGAACCUUACCAACACUUGACAUGUUCGUCGCGACUCUAAGAGAUUAGAGUUUUCGGUUCGGCCGGACGAAACACAGGUGCUGCAUGGCUGUCGUCAGCUCGUGUCGUGAGAUGUUGGGUUAAGUCCCGCAACGAGCGCAACCCUCACUUUUAGUUGCCACCAUUUAGUUGGGCACUCUGAAAGAACUGCCAGUGAUAAGCUGGAGGAAGGUGGGGAUGACGUCAAGUCCUCAUGGCCCUUACGUGUUGGGCUACACACGUGCUACAAUGGCAUUUACAAUAGGAAGCAAGAUGGCGACAUU
rnacentral:rRNA from 1 species